rnacentral:rRNA from 1 species
GUUUGAUCAUGGCUCAGGAUGAACGCUGGCGGCGUGCCUAACACAUGCAAGUCGAACGGAGUCGUUUUGGAAAAUCCUUCGGGAUUGGAAUUCUCGACUUAGUGGCGGACGGGUGAGUAACGCGUGAGCAAUCUGCCUUUAAGAGGGGGAUAACAGUCGGAAACGGCUGCUAAUACCGCAUAAAGCAUCAAAUUCGCAUGUUUUUGAUGCCAAAGGAGCAAUCCGCUUUUAGAUGAGCUCGCGUCUGAUUAGCUGGUUGGCGGGGUAACGGCCCACCAAGGCGACGAUCAGUAGCCGGACUGAGAGGUUGAACGGCCACAUUGGGACUGAGACACGGCCCAGACUCCUACGGGAGGCAGCAGCGGGGAAUAUUGCGCAAUGGGGGAAACCCUGACGCAGCAACGCCGCGUGAUUGAAGAAGGCCUUCGGGUUGUAAAGAUCUUUAAUCAGGGACGAAACAAAUGACGGUACCUGAAGAAUAAGCUCCGGCUAACUACGUGCCAGCAGCCGCGGUAAUACGUAGGGAGCAAGCGUUAUCCGGAUUUACUGGGUGUAAAGGGCGCGCAGGCGGGCCGGUAAGUUGGAAGUGAAAUCUAUGGGCUUAACCCAUAAACUGCUUCAAAACUGCUG